rnacentral:rRNA from 1 species
UACGUAGGGGGCAAGCGUUGUCCGGAUUUAUUGGGCGUAAAGAGCGUGUAGGCGGCCAUGCAGGUCAGCUGUGAAAACUCGAGGCUCAACCUCGAGACGUCGGUUGAAACCGUAUGGCUAGAGUCCGGAAGAGGAGAGUGGAAUUCCCGGUGUAGCGGUGAGAUGCGCAGAUAUCGGGAAGAACACCCAUGGCGAAGGCAGCUCUCUGGGACGGUACUGACGCUGAGACGCGAAAGCGUGGGGAGCAAACAGG